rnacentral:lncRNA from 1 species
UGUGCCUGGAACUUGCUUCUCAGCCCUGCUGCACUUCCUUCCACUGCACUCUCUCCUUGCCCAUGCAGCAGCCUCAUCACCUCCAUCUUCUGCAAACACUGCCAGACUAAUUUUUUUGAAAGUGGACCAUUAUUCAUUCAUUCAACAGCAAAUAUUUGCAUAUUGGCUGUGUGCUAGGCCUGGCAUUCAUCAGUGAGCAAAAGCAAACCCUGUGGAGUUCAUGUUUGGAAAGACAAAUAAUCACACGUAGUAACAAACAUCAGGGCUGUGAAAGAAGCACCUAACAUGGGAAUCUUGAGAUCAAGGAGUACUUCCUGGAAGACACAUUUAAGAUAAGAAGGAUGAGCAAGAACACAGGUGGUGGUGAGCAGCAUGCCAGGGAGAGAAGUUGAGGCUCAAGGGGGUAGCUUGUUUGGAAUAUCCAAGAAAACGGGUGAUGAUUCUGUACAGAUAGCCUGGGGCUGGGAGAUGGAGUUGGAGAAGGGAAUCUUUAGCCAGGAUGUGGCUUUUACUGAGUCAACAGCCUUGGAAAGCCAAUGACAGGCUAUGAGCAGGAUAGGAGAGUGACAUGUCAGACUGUAGUUUUAAAAUGAUCACGCUUGGCUGGGUGUGGUGUCCUGUAUUGUCAGCAAUUUGGAAUGUUGAGACAAGAGGACCACAGUUUGAGGCCAGCUGGGGUAACUUGGUGAGACCCUGUCUCAAUACAAAGAAUGGUGGGAGGUAGGUGGGCUCUAGAGAGAUGUAAGGGGUAAAAUUGAACAGACUUGGUAAUGGAUUCCGUAUAAGGAUGAAGAAGAGGGAGGUGCCAUUAAUGCCUGACUACCCCAAUGACUGGAUGCAGGCAGGGUAUGUGCAGGGCACCUGUUAAGCAAGGGAACCAGGAGACUUGUGUUUAGGAGGGAGCAUCAGGAGUUAUGUUAAGGGUAUGUUGAAUUUUAAGUGUUGUUGAAACUGCCAUGAGGCCAAAUGUGAUGACCCACAUCUGUAAUCCCAGUGACUCGGGAGGCUGAGACAGGAAGAUGGCAAAUUCCAGGCCAGCCCCAGGAACUUAACAAGACUUGUCUCAAAAUAUAAAAAGGGCUGAGGAUGU